CCUACGGGUGGCAGCAGUGGGGAAUAUUGCACAAUGGGGGAAACCCUGAUGCAGCGACGCCGCGUGAGUGAAGAAGUAAUUCGUUACGUAAAGCUCUAUCAGCAGGGAAGAAACACUGACCUUACGGUCAGCAGACGGUACCUGAGUAAGAAGCCCCGGCGAACUUCGUGCCAGCAGCCGCGGUAAUACGUAGGGGGCAAGGGUUAUCCGGAUUUACUGGGUGUUAAGGAGGCGUAGACGGUGCGCCAAGUCUGGAGGGAAAUGCCGGAGCUUAACUGCGGAACUGCUUUGGAAACUGGCGAACUAGAGUGCGGGAGGGGUAAGCGGAAUUCCUAGUGUAGCGGUGAAAUGCGUAGAUAUUAGGAGGAACACCGGUGGCGAAGGCGGCUUACUGGACCGUAACUGACGUUGAGGCUCGAAAGCGUGGGGAGCAAACAGGAUUAGAUACCCCUGUAGUC
rnacentral:rRNA from 1 species